rnacentral:rRNA from 1 species
GCACAGCAACGGGUGGAGCGUGCGGUUUAAUUGGAUUCAACGCCGGAAAACUCACCGGAGGCGACGGUUACAUGAAGGCCAGGCUGAUGACCUUGCCUGAUUUUCCGAGAGGUGGUGCAUGGCCGCCGUCAGUUCGUACCGUAAGGCGUUCUGUUAAGUCAGACAACGAACGAGACCCUCAUCUUUAAUUGCUACUGGUAAGUCCGCUUAUCAGGCACAUUGAGGAAACCGCUGGCGAUAAGUCAGAGGAAGGUGAGGGCAACGGUAGGUCAGUAUGCCCUGAAUCCUCCGGGCUACACGCGCGCUACAAAGGCUAGGACAAUGGGUUUCAACACCGAAAGGUGAAGGUAAUCUCGAAACCUAGUCGUAGUUCGGAUUGAGGGUUGAAACUCACCCUCAUGAAACUGGAAUCCGUAGUAAUCGCGGAUCAACAUCCCGCGGUGAAUAUGCCCCUGCUCCUUGCACACACCGCCCGUCAAACCAUGCGAGUUGGGUCUGAGUGAGGAUGUAGUUUUUGCUACAUUCAAACUUAGGCUUAGUAAGCGGGGUU